GGAAAAAGGGGAUGAAUUUGAGUCUUAGGUCGCAGGUUCAAGCCCACACCAUGCAAAGUGAAGCCUGAUAUUUAAGUGGAGAAGGGUAGAGGGGCGGGUCCAUUAUCCACUGAGUUUAGAAGGCUAUGAUUGGUCCAAAGGGUGGGCCACAGGCGGAUUUCUCGGUUAUCAAAACAAAAAAGGAAGAUCUCGCAGAGACUUUUGCGAACUCUAGAAGUUUUGAUGAUAGGCUCGCCAAUAGGGAUGGUAGUAUUUUCUUGAAUGACGGGCUCUUGAAGAUGAAGUGCAUUCUCCAAAUUCCAUAGCACCUCACCCAUAGAUGGCCUGUGCACCAGAUUCAGCUAAGUAUUUCACUGCGUUUCUCCAAAGUUGCUGAAGGAAUCUGGUCUUACUUCGCCCAGAAUGUCGGGAUAUAUGAUAUGUUCCAGUUGUCUUUUCUCCUGCAAAUGCAUUGCCCAGUCAGCUAAGUUGACCUGCUCCCUCGGAAGAGAUCGAUCUCGGGCAGGCCUAGCACUUUAACUUCGCAUAAAAUGGUUACCAUUGGAGGAAGAAGGAUGCUGAUGAAACUGUUAAAGAACUAUUAAAGACACUCACCAAAAGGUGAAGAUGUUUUUGAAAGUCUUGGAGCACCUUUGAAUGUUGCUAAACCCACAAAAGAUUCAAGUGUGGCUAUUUUUUGACUAGGAGCUGUAGGCCUUAUUGCUGCAGACGGAGCAAAAAUUGCUAGUGCUUCAAGGAUAAUUUGUGUCGAUUUAAAUGCUAGCUGAUUUCAGUAAGGUAAGAAAUUUUGUGUGACAAAGUUUGUGAACCCGAAGGAUUAAAGUAAACCAGGUCAAGAGGUAAUUGCUGAGAUGACUCAUUGCAAAUUCGAUCUGAGUGUGAAGUGUACUGGCCAUAUCUAUGCUAUGAUUUCAGCAUUUGAAUUGUCCAUGAUGUGUGGUAGUGGCUGUCCUUAUUGGUAUGUACCCCAUAAGGAAGCUGUGUUCAAGACACACUUUUGAACUUUUUAAUGGAAGUACUAUCAAAAUAACCUUCUUUGGAAACUGGACACCUCGUUCGGAUAUUCCUUCUUUUGUUGAGAAAUACAUGAAUAAGGAACUUGAAUUGGAGAAAUUCAUCACUCAUACACUUCCCAUACUAUGAAAUCGACAAGGCUUUUUGAAUUAAUGUUGAAGGGAGAAGGCAUUCAUUGCAUCAUCACCAUGGAGUGCUAAACUUACUAUCCUAGAAAAGGAGCUUCUAGCUAGUCGCUUUUAUUUGAGAAAAGACCAAGAAUUGGGUGGAACACUAUGAGAAGGAUCCGAAAGCUCCAAUGGCUAGACUAUUGAACAUGAUGUUUGAGAUUUUUAAAUGUUUUGUCUUUCUGAUGAACGAGGCAUCUUUUAAUCAUGGUGAAAGGGAAGCUCUAAGAUCUUGUAUAAAAGCUUUGAAUUUCUGGGCUACUGAGAUUUGGUGGGAGUUACAAGACUUCACCCUCAACAUAUUGAAAAGGAUUAUAGAUGAGCUCAUUAUCAACGUACCAUUGUUCCAGAAAUGGGCAUUAGUGCAGUAUGGAGAACUGUAGUAUUUAAGAUGGAGACUUUCAUCAACUGCUCCCUCAGAUGUCUGCCUAGUCUUCCUUCAGGAUUUUAAAUCUUCCGUCCUUCUGGUUAAAGAGGCAUUUAUUUAGAAUGGUUGUGUUCUUUUUUCAGAACAUUGGCUAAUCAGGAAAGCAACCCUUGUAUCAUCCACAGAGCUAGAAGCUUUGGGGUACUCAUCAGAUAUAUGCAACGGAAGCAGCUUCCAGACUUGGUAAACUGAUGAUGGAUGCCCUUAUUUUCAUGCAUAUGGAAUUGAGAAGAUCCUAUGGACCUGAAGAGUGGUUGCCCUCAAUGGAUCUGAUGGGAUAAGCUUAACUAGGCAGUGAAAGGACAUAGUUUGGUGGAUGGCUGUCAUACGGGAUGGUGAUGUUUGAAUAUUCACUGCUUGUAAACUUUAAAAUGUUGGAUGAUCUUCAAUUAUCGAGGCAAAUUUCCAUCGAAAGCUUGCAUAAUAAUCUUGCACAGACUGCCUCCAAGGCUUAGCUCGAGUGGAAGAAGGUGGUGUCGCAGGUUUGAGCCCCACACCAUGCAAAGUGAAGCCCGGAAUUUAAGUGGAGAGGGGUAGAGGGCGGGCCUAUUAUCCACUGAGUUUAGAAGGCUAUGAUUGGUCUAAAGAGCGGGUCACAGGCGGAUUUCUCGGUUAUAAAAAAAAAAGAAUCUUGCAGAGACUUUCAAGAACUCCAGAAGUUUUGAUGACUGGUGAUAGCUCGCCAAUAGGGAUGGUACUGUUUUCUUGAAUGACGGGCUCUUGGAGAUGAAGUGCAUUCUCCAAAUUCCUUAGCACCUCACCAAUAGAUGGAAUUUGCAUUUCACUGCGUUUCUCCAAACUUGCUGAAGGAAUCUGGUCUUACAUUGCCUAGAAGGUCGGGAUCUAUGAUAUGUUCCAUCUAUCUCUUCUCUUGCAAAUUCAUUGCCCAGUCAGCUAAGUUGACCUUCUCCCUCGGAAGAGAUCGAUCUCGGGCAGACCUAGCACAAAGAACUUCACAUAAAAUGGUCACCAAUGGAGGAAGAGGAAGGAUGGUGAAACUGUUUAAGACACUCACCAAAAGGUGAAGGCUGCAGACGGAGCAAAAAUUGCUAGUGCUUCAAGGAUAAUUUGUGUCGAUUUAAAUGCUAGCUGAUUUCAGUAAGCUAAGAAAUUUUGUGUGACAAAGUUUGUGAACUCGAAGGAUUAAAGUAAACCAGGUCAAGAGGUAAUUGCUGAGAUGACUGAUUGCAAAUUCGAUCUGAGUGUGAAGUGUACUGGCCAUAUUUAUGCUAUGAUUUCAGCAUUUGAAUUGUCCAUGAUGUGUGGUAGUGGCUGUCCUUAUUGGUAUGUACCCCAUAAGGAAGCUGUGUUCAAGACACACUUUUGAACUUUUUAAUGGAAGUACUAUCAAAGUAACCUUCUUUGGAAAUUUUACACCUCGUUCGGAUAUUCCUUCUUUUGUUGAGAAAUACAUGAAUAAGGAACUUGAAUUGGAGAAAUUCAUCACUCAUGCACUUCCCAUACUAUGAAAUCGACAAGGCUUUUUGAAUUAAUGUUGAAGGGAGAAGGCAUUCAUUGCAUCAUCACCAUGGAGUGCUAAACUUACUAUCCUAGAAAAGGAGCUUCUAGCUAGUCGCUUUUAUUUGAGAAAAGACCAAGAAUUGGGUGGAACACUAUGAGAAGGAUCCGAAAGCUCCAAUGGCUAGACUAUUGAACAUGAUGUUUGAGAUUUUUAAAUGUUUUGUCUUUCUGAUGAACGAGGCAUCUUUUAAUCAUGGUGAAAGGGAAGCUCUGAGAUCUUGUAUAAAAGCUUUGAAUUUCUGGGCUACUGAGAUUUGGUGGGAGUUACAAGUCUUCACCCUCAACAUAUUGAAAAGGAUUAUAGAUGAGCUCAUUAUCAACGUAUCAUUGUUCGAGAAAUGGGCAUUAGUGCAGUAUGGAGAACUGUAGUAUUUAAGAUGGAGACUUUCAUCAAAUGCUCCCUCAGAUGUCUGCCUAGUCUUCCUUCAGGAUUUUAAAUCUUCCGUCCUUCUGGUUAAAGAGGCAUUUAUUUAGAAUGGUUGUGUUCUUUUUUCAGAACAUUGGCUAAUCAGGAAAGCAACCCUUGUAUCAUCCACAGAGCUAGAAGCUUUGGGGUACUCAUCAGAUAUAUGCAACGGAAGCAGCUUCCAGACUUGGUAAACUGAUGAUGGAUGCCCUUAUUUUCAUGCAUAUGGAAUUGAGAAGAUCCUAUGGACCUGAAGAGUGGUUGCCCUCAAUGGAUCUGAUGGGAUAAGCUUGAACUAGGCAGUGAAAGGACAUAGCUUGGUGGAUGGCUGUCAUACGGGAUGGUGAUGUUUGAAUAUUCACUGCUUGUAAACUUGAAAAUGUUGGAUGAUCUUCAGUUAUCGAGGCAAAUUUCCAUCGAAAACUUGCAUAAUAAUCUUGCACAGACUGCCUCCAAGGCUUAGCUCGAGAGGAAGAAGGUGGUGUCGCAGGUUUGAGCCCCACACCAUGCAAAGUGAAGCCCGGAAUUUAAGUGGAGAGGGGUAGAGGGCGGGCCUAUUAUCCACUGAGUUUAGAAGGCUAUGAUUGGUCCAAAGAGCGGGUCACAGGCGGAUUUCUCGGUUAUAAAAAAAAAGAAUUGCAGAGACUUUCAAGAACUCCAGAAGUUUUGAUGACUGGUGAUAGCUCGCCAAUAGGGAUGAUACUGUCUUCUUGAAUGACGGGCUCUUGGAGAUGAAGUGCAUUCUCCAAAUUCCUUAGCACCUCACCCAUAGAUGGAAUGUGCAUUUCACUGCGUUUCUCCAAACUUGCUGAAGGAAUCUGGUCUUACAUUGCCCAGAAGGUCGGGAUCUAUGAUAUGUUCCAUGUAUCUCUUCUCUUGCAAAUUCAUUGCCCAGUCAGCUAAGUUGACCUUCUCCCUCGGAAGAGAUCGAUCUCGGGCAGACCUAGCACAAAGAACUUCACAUAAAAUGGUCACCAAUGGAGGAAGAAGAAGGAUGGUGAAACUGUUUAAGACACUCACCAAAAGGUGAAGAUGUUUUUGAAAGUCUUGGAGCACCUUUGAAUGUUGCUAAACCCACAAAAGAUUCAAGUGUGGCUAUUUUUUGACUAGGAGUUGUAGGCCUUAUUGCUGCAGACGGAGCAAAAAUUGCUAGUGCUUCAAGGAUAAUUUGUGUCGAUUUAAAUGCUAGCUGAUUUCAGUAAGCUAAGAAAUUUUGCGUGAAAAAGUUUGUGAACCCAAAGGAUUAAAGUAAACCAGGUCAAGAGGUACGAAUAUCUGCUUCUCCUAUUGGAUCAUUUUGCGAAAGAAGAAAAAGACAGAUGGUAACCCGCAGCCGCUACAACCUAUGCUACAGCAUCUGCCGUUCGGGUGACCACUUUGUGCGCACUGGGUAAACCCUCCACUGUGUAAUAGCCUGCAAACCACACAGGUAAUGUAAACCGCACUAAGCAAUCCCUAUGCGACAUGCUCGACUCAGAAGACAUUGAGGGGGAUCAAUCCCGGGUCAUCCGUGUGGAUAACCACCCGCCAUACUAACUAAGACAUCCCAAAGGGCUAAUUAAAAGUUACCAAUUAAAAAUGACUUGUGCCUAAUUUAGGCAUCCAUCACUUCCCUUCAAACGAAUAUGUACACUAAUAUUUUCGUUUUAGUCUAGGGGGGCACUUGUCCCUUAUACCAAUUGUAUUGAUAAAAAUUAGAUUAAAUCUUGAAUUUAAGUAUAUAGAUUCUAUACUAUAAUUUUUUAUUAUUAACAUAUUAUGACUAUUUAAAAAAUUAUUAUUGCACGAAGUGCGUGUCUCUCCUCCUCUCUUACGAAUUCGUUUUAAGAAUCGUCUAGGUGGAGGCAUCUCUUUGUGCUUGCUCGUCCUUGUUCAAGAUCAGACAACUCCCUUCAAAAAUUCUUGUACUAAUUCUUGGUUGUCAAAUCUUAUCGAAUUCAAAUUCCGCGAUUUUCAAUGGAAUUGUUAUUCGAAUUUGGACCUCAUUUUCCCUCUUCAAUCUUCCCUAUUUCUCUCUAUAUAUACUUUCCUUCCUUUAACGUUUUAGGGGAUUUUUUUGAACACUAAUUUAUCAUCUAAAAUAUAGAGCAUUUUCUUAAAAAGAUAUUAGCUACACAAACAUGUAUUAAGAGCUCAAAAAGGCUUAGGUUUUUUCUGCUCGAAUUAAUCGGAGCUCGACGGGAUUAGAUGAAGUUCCACUUGUGGUGUAGUCAUUGCUCUUCUCUCGUCCUCUCAGUCUCGCUGUCAGGGAAAAGGUAAAUGAUUCUUCUAUACUUUACAUAUUUAUUCUCUUUGUGAUGUAGAUGCUUAAAAUAAUAUGAAUCCCCAUUGUUUUCUUAAGAUUUCCGAUUUUAUCUAUUAUCUUGCUUGAAUAUUGAUAUAAAUUCCACCUCACAUGUCUAGUUUUUGGUCUGAUGUGUUUCUCUAAUUACUAUGCGGCAUAAGUGUGUUAAAGCUUUGCUUUGCGAUGAAGCUUGUUUGAAUAUGUGUUAUGAGUACAAUCUAGCUUAAAGUAAUAUAUUGUGGUCAAUAUUGUUCUUAAAUGAUUUAUUAUUGCAAUUGAAAGCUUAUCAUUUGCUUAUAAGUGAAGAAUUUUAUAUAUUUGAUAAUAUAGUAUAACUUACUUUUCAUACACACAAUUAGUUUUGGACUUGUGAUGAAGUAGCCACAACUCAUUUAAUCACUGUAGUUUGGUUUGUUUUGAAUAUAAUUAGGACUAGUUACUACUUUAAAAACAUGCAUAUUGUGGUUUGAUGGUAUGAUACUUUAGCUUUAAUUCAUGACCAUUUUGUUUGUUUAUUUGUUAAUCUCUUUGCUUGUGUUUGUUAAGUAUUAUGAAUUCUUCUUGCUCAUGAGCCUUUAUUUUCUCCAUUUAAUGAUUAGUAAUCUUUUUUUCUUAAUAAAGUUCCAACCCUUGCAUGAGUAGAUAUAUCAUAUUUACAUCUCCUAGUUGUAUUUUCCAAAAAUCGAUGCAAUAGUAAUUUAUUGUACCGAUUUUUGGAGAGUGUUACAACUAGGAGAUGCAAAUAUUUUCGUGUAUCUCAUGGAUCGAACAUGAUUUUUAUGUGAUUUUAUUUUUAUGCAUGUAAAUCUAAUCCAAGUCUAAUGGACUUCAUUUACUGCCUAUUCUUGAGUGUUCAAGUGAAAAAAUUGAAUUACAGGUUCCAAAAGCAAAAUACAGGUCUUGGAAAGCUGAAAAAUAAAUUGAUAUACGAUCCGUAUGCACUCAGUAUACGUUGAUAUACGGAUCGAGUGCAACAAAUACAGAGCCAAAAAAUGAAUACAUGUAUUGAAUGCUGUAUAUACACUUGGUAUACAAUCUGAUAUACAAAAAUAAGAACCAAAAUACAACUUGUAUACAAUGGUUUACAAUCAGUGUAUAUUCAGUCUUUUAGGCAUGAGAAUAGGCCAAGCCCAAUUUUUGUUUUGCACAGCAGCUCCAGGAGAAGCUAAUGGGCUGGAAUCCAUCUAUUUGUGGCUGACUCUUUUUUAGAGUUAGGACAUGUUGGGACAAAAGCCCAAAUUUUGACUUUA